ACCUGGACUAAGCCCAGGAAUAUGGUGCCUCAGACCUGCAUGGGCCAUAUGCUUAACGAAGACAAGCUCUCCUUCUCUCUAACACUGUGCCAACUCAUGAUUCUCAUGACCUGCUUGGAAAGAUCUGGACUAAAGAGUCAGAGGAACUCUGACUUUGCCAGCCAUGGCUAG
rnacentral:ribozyme from 2 species